rnacentral:rRNA from 1 species
UAAAGGUAUUCCGGUAGACGAUGGGGAUGCGUUCCAUUAGAUAGUAGGCGGGGUAACGGCCCACCUAGUCUUCGAUGGAUAGGGGUUCUGAGAGGAAGGUCCCCCACAUUGGAACUGAGACACGGUCCAAACUCCUACGGGAGGCAGCAGUGAGGAAUAUUGGUCAAUGGGCGAGAGCCUGAACCAGCCAAGUAGCGUGAAGGAUGACUGCCCUAUGGGUUGUAAACUUCUUUUAUAAAGGAAUAAAGUCGGGUAUGGAUACCCGUUUGCAUGUACUUUAUGAAUAAGGAUCGGCUAACUCCGUGCCAGCAGCCGCGGUAAUACGGAGGAUCCGAGCGUUAUCCGGAUUUAUUGGGUUUAAAGGGAGCGUAGAUGGAUAUUUAAGUCAGUUGUGAAAGUUUGCGGCUCAACCGUAAAAUUGCAGUUGAUACUGGAUAUCUUGAGUGCAGUUGAGGCAGGCGGAAUUCGUGGUGUAGCGGUGAAAUGCUUAGAUAUCACGAAGAACUCCGAUUGCGAAGGCAGCCUGCUAAGCUGCAACUGACAUUGAGGCUCGAAAGUGUGGGUAUCAAACAGGAUUAGAUACCCUGGUAGUCCACACGGUAAACGAUGAAUACUCGCUGUUUGCGAUAUACUGCAAGCGGCCA